GCCUGGGUGGCUCAGUCAGUUAAGUGUCUGACUUCAGCUCAGGUCAUGAUCUCACAGCUCGUGGGUUUGAGCCCCAUGUCAGGCU
rnacentral:tRNA from 1 species